UCAGUUUCAUUCUCUAGUCUUCAGAAGCUCUGUGUCUCAACCAAGGAAGAGAAGAAGAAGAAGCCGUGAGCAAGCCUAGCCACCACCAUCCACCUUGUGCCGUAGCCCUUGAGGAGCUUUGCUUUCAAGAUCUUCAAAGCUUCAAUGUCUACAAGUUCUUGAUUCAUUCCUUCACUGUGUGUACCCUCAAUCCCCAGCUUGAACGAUCCCUACUUAUUCAAUAUUAACAAUGACAUUUUAUAGGGUUAAAUUGCGUGCUACUUACAGCAUAUUAGUUGGUUUCACAAUUAAAGAUUUGUACAAUAAGUUGGACUCGAGUCAACGUGAAAUUGUACUUAAGGGGGAUGCAAAAGCCACACUCGCCUAUUUCGAAGGAAAAGAAGCAAAAUAUAAGAAAUUAUUUCGCAAGUAUGGCACAAGUGAGAAUUACAGUUGAGACAUACAAAUGGGUUUCGGAGAUGAUUUUAGAGUCUAUGGAGCGCAAAAAACCUCUCGCCAUCUUGACUUACGCAAAUGAAGCAAUGAGAAAUGCUAUUGAAGUAGUGAUUCCCGGUUGUCCACAUCAUUUAUGUACAUAGAAUUUUUCAAGAAAAGCUCAAAAAAAAAUUGUGUAACCCUAAAGAGGAUUUUCAGUCGAAUAACUCCACUCAUGUACUUACUACUCAACUGCGACAGAUGAAGAAACAUGUCUCUGCUAUCUACACCGGUAAUAUGUAUUGAGAUAGAUCGGGUUGGAGAAUUGAUUACAUCAAACAUUAUGCAUCUUAACUCAUGUCGUGUGUACAUUACAGAAAUGGGCUCAAGCAUGCGUAGUACUCAGCGAUGUGAGGGCAUGAACUAGUUUGUAAAUGAUAUCUCGAU